rnacentral:rRNA from 1 species
GGAGUCUGGGCCGUGUCUCAGUCCCAAUGUGGCCGUUCAACCUCUCAGUCCGGCUACCGAUCGUCGCCUUGGUGGGCCGUUACCUCACCAACUAGCUAAUCGGACGCGAGUCCAUCUCUCAGCGAUAAAUCUUUGACAUACCGAUCAUGCGGUCAAUAUGUGUUAUGCGGUAUUAGCGCUCUUUUCAGGGCGUUAUUCCCCACUGAGAGGCAGGUUACUCACGCGUUACUCACCCGUCCGCCACUAAGUUAAGCAAGGAAAUCCGCUAGCAAGCUAGCAUCAAACCAGCGCUUAACUCCGUUCGACUUGCAUGUGUUAAGCACGCCGCCAGCGUUCGUCCUCGAGCCACUGAUCAAACUACU